GCUAAGUCGCUUCAGUCGUGUCCGACUCUGUGCGACCCCAUAGACGGCAGUCCACCAGGCUCCCCCGUCCCUGGGAUUCUCCAGGCAAGAACACUGGAGUGGGUUCUGCUGGUGGAGGUAAAUCCUCAGCCCGUCCCCGGGUAUAGCUGUACGCUCGGCCUCACGGUGGCGCAUUUCCAAAGCAGCAAGGGCGCUCCCAGCUGGGGAGGAAGUAAAGCUCUUCCCAAGUGCGGUAGCCGUCGUCAGGGUGCUGGAAGCGCUUUCCGAUUCCUCUCUUGCCGCCACCUCCGUCGUCCUUACACAACCCGCACCCCUCGGUUACCCUUUAAGAACCUUCGGUUACAGUCAGUGACUAUCACUUGCGGUCUUCCCAGCUCACCCUUCCAUCGUCACCAUCGAAACCCAGCAGCAUUUUCAGUCCUUUCAAAAGCUUUCAGUUUCGUUUCGCAUUGUGUCAGCUAAGUGCCAGGGAGCUGGGAGUACAGAACCAACAAGUUGCCCGGGGCGUCUGCUCUAGCUCUGUGCCUGAACCACUCAGUCGUGUCAGACUCUUUGCGACCCAACGGACUGAAGCCCCCUAGGCUCCCACUCUCCAUCGAUUUUUUUCAGGCAAGAAUACUGGAGUGGGUUGCCACUUCCUUCUCCGGGGGAAUCUUCCCAACCCAGGGGUUGACUCUGAGUCUCCUGUGUCUCCUGCAUUGCAGGCAGGUUCUUUAACCUGCUGAGCCAUUGGGGAAGCCCCUACUCAACCGUUUUCUCAGUUACUGUGAACUGGAGGCUAGAGUUCGUUCACAUUAACUGAGAAACGGCCUGGUUCAGAGUAUCGCUGUGGUCCCUGUCCUAACCACUUUCGCACCAGCUGGGCUCACUGGGAACUGGCCAGUUGGCCAUGGCUGCCGUUGCGACAGAUGUCUGCCCAAUCGAGUCCAAGUAGUUGUGUUAGGGGAAGCACACUGAUUGAAACCGCCCACCCUGGCCAGGCACCAUAGUAACCAUUUGCAUGAGUUGUUUUAUGACAGGAGAUCCUGAUAAGGAAUAUGGAACUAAUAAGCCACCACCAAC